ACCAUUUAUUUUUGUCACAACCCAUUUCUUGGCCCAAAUUCGAUUUUUCCAAUCUCUUCGUUUUCUCGUAAUCUUGGCACAAUUCUGAGGUCUAGAAGAAAACCCAGUUUCACAGUUUGCUUUGUUCCGGAGGAUGAGAAGUUGACUACUCAAUUUGACAAGUUGAAUGCCCAAUUAGAGAUUGGGACAGAAGAGAUUCAAAUAAAAAUUGAGGAGCAGAUCUCAGCAACGCGUUUAACCGAAAAAUUGGCUAGGAAAAAUCGGAGAGGUUUACUUAUCUUGUGGUUACGGCUAUGUCUAGUUUUGGGAUUACUUCCUUGGCUAUUAUGGCCGUCUAUUACAGAUUUUCGUGGCAAAUGGAGGGCGGAGAAGUGCCUUUAACUGAAAUGUUUGGUACAUUUGCUCUCUCAGUUGGUGCUGCUGUUUGGGCCUAGGAGCGGUUUCUGCCGUUGCAGCCACCUCUACCACCAUUACCUCCGGAUGUAGCACCUCCGUUUCUCGCUCUAUCUAGGAGGUGGGUUCUCUGGCGUGGAAAUUACUGAGCCAUUGAUGCUCAUCAUAAUCUCCCCCUUGUCAGGGAUGUGUUGAAUAUGCUGGAGGUCGUACAGUUCAUCUGGACGCCAUAUAGCGACGACUUGAUAGCUGGCUUGCCUGAUUAUUGCUUGGUCAGCUGACUGAUUUGGAGCACUUUUGUCCCGCUAAUGUGCCUUGAUAUUGUGGAGCAUCAUGCCACAGAGCUGGUACUUUGCCAGUUUGACCGUCCGCAGACUAUACUGAGGGAGCCUACAUGGGAGGCUACACAUUAUCAGCGGGAUGAUCGUUUGAGGACGGACGACGCAUUUGUAGCAAGGCUAGAGGCACAGGUCCAUACUUGGGACCAGCAAGAGGACCUGAUUCCGCCCCCACCUUCACAGAUCCAGUCGCUAACUACUGAGAUUUAUAUGUCCUGGUACCGCAGCGUUACCCGACUGAUGAUUGGGAACCCCGUUCAUCAAGCUGGCGGUUAGUACAGACCAUACGCCGGGAGGCACGACGCACUGGUGGUAGAGCUGGCUCUCCGGACACUGCAACAAGCCAGAGAGGACGAGAGGUUAGAUCACGCUGCUAAGUAUGUGGCGCUAGAGCAUCACCAUCAGGAUAGGCCUGUCGCACGCCCGAGGGGACAGGCACGAGCCAGGGCUACCCCAUGAGGCAGCUGCCCCACGAGGCAAGGAUAUCCCACGAGGCAGGGGUGUCCCAUGGGGUCAUGGGGGACGGGGAGGAGGUGGUCCCCAGCAAGGGGGCGUUGAGGCACCUGUUGUGGCACCUGAUGAGGAUUUUGGAGAUGAUCAGCCGGAUUACAUCCCUCAGCAAAACGAGCCUUCCAGCAGCUUGCCGUCGUACAGCCUUUAGUUGGAGCUGCCAGCAUCGCAAUUCACCCCGUCAGAUCUAAUGUUGAUCACGGGUACAUUCGACGGAGAUGUAUAGCAGUUCUUUUCAGGCCCAUCUACCGCAGUUGAGGAUUGGCCGACCCGAUACGUGGAUGGUAGGCGCAGGUUGAGUUUUGGCUCAUCCCCGGCGUUGCAGCAGAUCUAUCAUAGGCGCAAGUUGCUGAUGGACCGAUGACCCCUUUUACCGAUCCUGCCAGCGCUACUGACGAUCAUGCUGCAGCGCAUCCUCACAUAAAGAGGCGACGUGAUGAGGAUGAUCCUGAUAGCGUAUCCGGGCAACAGGGGAUGCUCCUCAGGCCAGCGGCUGCAUUGAAGUACACAGGUUGU